CCAAUAGCGUAUAUUAAAGUUGUUGCAGUUAAAAAGCUCGUAGUUGAAUUUCGAGAUCAAAUUGUUGGUCGUGCCUCGGUACGUACUGGUAAUUUUGGUUUCUCCCUUCUGAAGAACCAUGAUGUCAUUAGUUUGGUGUCUUGGGGAAUCAGGACUGUUACUUUGAAAAAAUUAGAGUGUUUAAAGCAGGCUCGCGCUUG
rnacentral:rRNA from 1 species